rnacentral:rRNA from 1 species
CCAUCCUCCAAGGCUAAAUACUCCUGACUGACCGAUAGUGAACCAGUACCGUGAGGGAAAGGCGAAAAGAACCCCGGCGAGGGGAGUGAAAAAGAACCUGAAACCGUGUACGUACAAGCAGUGGGAGCCCCACCACUAAGCCAGUGGUGAACUCCACAUACGCAUCCUUUGCUGAGGAUACGGUUAACGGAGCGAAAGCGACGUUCAACCGCAAAAGAAGCAGAGGGGGCUUAGUGGUGGGGUGACUGCGUACCUUUUGUAUAAUGGGUCAGCGACUUAUAUUCUGUAGCAAGGUUAACCGAAU